rnacentral:rRNA from 1 species
AACGAACGCUGGCGGCAGGCUUAACACAUGCAAGUCGAGCGCCCCGCAAGGGGAGCGGCAGACGGGUGAGUAACGCGUGGGAACAUACCCUUUCCUGCGGAAUAGCUCCGGGAAACUGGAAUUAAUACCGCAUACGCCCUACGGGGGAAAGAUUUAUCGGGGAAGGAUUGGCCCGCGUUGGAUUAGCUAGUUGGUGGGGUAAAGGCCUACCAAGGCGACGAUCCAUAGCUGGUGUGAGAGGAUGAUCAGCCACAUUGGGACUGAGACACGGCCCAAACUCCUACGGGAGGCAGCAGUGGGGAAUAUUGGACAAUGGGCGCAAGCCUGAUCCAGCCAUGCCGCGUGAGUGAUGAAGGCCUUAGGGUUGUAAAGCUCUUUCACCGGAGAAGAUAAUGACGGUAUCCGGAGAAGAAGCCCCGGCUAACUUCGUGCCAGCCGCCGCGGUAAAAC